GGGGGGGGGGGGGGGGGGGGGGGGGGGGGGGGGGGGAAGGGGGGGGGGGGAAGGGGUUGCGCUUACGGGGGGCGAGGGGCGGACGGGGGAGGGAGACAGCGGAAUCGACUGUUUCGGGGGGGAUAACGGAGGGAAACUUACGCUAAUACCGCAUACGACCUACGGGUGAAAGCAGGGGAUCUUCGGACCUUGCGCGAUUGAAUGAGCCGAUGUCGGAUUAGCUAGUUGGCGGGGUAAAGGCCCACCAAGGCGACGAUCCGUAGCUGGUCUGAGAGGAUGAUCAGCCACACUGGAACUGAGACACGGUCCAGACUCCUACGGGAGGCAGCAGUGGGGAAUAUUGGACAAUGGGCGCAAGCCUGAUCCAGCCAUACCGCGUGGGUGAAGAAGGCCUUCGGGUUGUAAAGCCCUUUUGUUGGGAAAGAAAAGCAGCAGGUUAAUACCCCGCUGUUCUGACGGUACCCAAAGAAUAAGCACCGGCUAACUUCGUG
rnacentral:rRNA from 1 species